GAUGAACGCUGGCGGCGUGCCUAAUACAUGCAAGUCGAACGCUGAAGGAGGAGCUUGCUCUUCUGGAUGAGUUGCGAACGGGUGAGUAACGCGUAGGUAACCUGCCUGGUAGCGGGGGAUAACUAUUGGAAACGAUAGCUAAUACCGCAUGACAACAGUUAUUGCAUGAUAACUGUUUAAAAGGGGCAACUGCUCCACUACCAGAUGGACCUGCGUUGUAUUAGCUAGUUGGUGAGGUAACGGCUCACCAAGGCGACGAUACAUAGCCGACCUGAGAGGGUGAGAGGCCAAACUGGGACUGAGACACGGCCCAGACUACUACGGGAGGCAGCAGUAGGGAAUCUUCGGCAAUGGACGGAAGGCUGAACGAGCAACGCCGAGUGAGUGAAGAAGGUUGUCGGAUCGGAAAGCUCUGUUGUAAGAGAAGAACGAGUGUGAGAGUGGAAAGUUCACAAUGUGACGGUAGCUUAACAGAAAGGGACGGCUAACUACGUG
rnacentral:rRNA from 1 species